GCCUGUUAUUGGUAGUCUGGCUAGGUAAAGAUUAGAUAUCUUUAUUAUGAAAUCGUUUCUAGACCGUCAAUGCAUAGAGUUAUAGCCCUUGAACCAGAUAGCUUAUUUAUUUCCGAAUUUAGAUUUUGGUUAGGUCGCAUAGAUGGCAUACAAUCAAGACAUUUUAGUAAAACUACAUGUGUCGAAGUUUUAAAAGUUUACAGUGAUGCAAGUGGUUUUGCCGGUGGGGCUUAUAUUGUUGAUAUGUCAGGUUUUAUUUUUCACGAUAUAUGGUCAAAUGACGAUUGCAAUACAAGUUCUACUUAUAGAAUACUUAAUGGAGUAGUUCUAGUUUUACGUGCCCAUGGGAUUUUUUAAGGGUGGGGGCUGUUAAGUGGUUUUCUGACUCUGAAUCACGUGUAAAGUUGGUAAAGGUAGGAAGUUCUAAAAUUGAGUAACAUGAUCUAGCACUAAGCAUUUUAGUAUGUGUUUGAAGAUGAAUAUAGAACUAGAAAUACAAUGAAUUCCAAGAGAAUUAAACUCCAUUGCCAGUAUAAGUAAAAUGAGCAAUUCAGAUGAAUGGUAAAUCUCACGAUAUUUCUUUGAGUAUUUAAAUGGUAGCUCGGGUCCGAUUUUGAUUGAUCGCUUGGCUACUGUUAAAAAUGGAAAUACUUAAAGAUAUAACUCAAAAUUCUUUGAUUUUGAAACAGAAGCAGAUUGCUUUACACAGUUUUGGGGUGCCGAUUUGAGUUGGUUGAUGCCCCUAUUUAUCUCGUAGGAAAAACAAUUUUGCACUUUCUAGAAUGCAACGCAUAUGGCGUUUUGGUGGUACACAGAUGGCCUAGUGCAGCAUUUUGGCCAUUCUUAUUUGAGGCUGGUAAUGUACAAAUGCACUUUGAGAAUGAUAUUAUUGUGUUUGACAAAGGGCAAACUAUUUGUAUGAGUAAUAACCACUCUGUUUCAGUUCAAGACCUUUUUCAAGAAAUGUUCUUGCUAUUCGAAUUUAACUAUACUAUAUGUCGUUUAUAUGUGAAUCGGUGAUAUGAAUGGUUUGACUGUUUUGCUAUACUUAUGGUAUAGUUGGGAUUUUUCACGUGUUUAUAUAUGUAGAAAUGAUUAAAUGGAUGUUGUUUUUGUAUAGCCAUUAAGUAUGUAUAGAAACCAUGUUGGUGUAUGUCCGUUUGCACCUGGUGCUUACGAAGUCGUGUACAGUACAAGAGGAAUGGAAUAUUUGCAAAAAAGAAAGCAAAAACAGUACUUGCAAAAAAGAAAGCAAGGAUUAAAAAUAAUAGUUUUAAAAGUAUAAUACCUGCAAAAAAGUUAGCAAGGGUAAUAUUUAUUUCAAAUUGGAAAAUACUUGCAAAAAAGAAAGCAAGGGAAACGGUUUUGUGACAGAAAGUCAAUUUAAAAUGUUGGUGUGUGUGUUUCAUGUCUGUCUGCCUCUGGGGUAGACGCGAUUGUGUGUGGCAUUUCGUGGGCUCAUGGGGUUGUGGGAUCGUGUGGUCGUUGUAAUUCUGGUCUGGUUGUGUUUUCUGAUGAUGGAUUGAAAAGGGCCAAUUCUGGGCCGCUGGUUCGGAGGUGCUUAGUGACUAAAGCGGAUGUGUAGAGGCUUUGAUUCUUUGAUGUGAGAUGUGUAACGGUGUGUUUGGUGCGUUUUUUGGGGGGUUUGGCGGUUUGGGGACUUUGAAUUGAAAGGAUGCGAUACAAGAUUUUUGAGGAUUGUGCUAUAAUUAUUAUUUUCAAUAGUAAAAUGGUUCAAUUGUGCAAGGGCGAAUAGGUUUUGACAUUUUGUAAAACAAAUGCAGUUGUAUGCCCUGUCUUCUACUUGAAAAAAUGUAUCUUGGUUGAAACUAUUCUAGAUAUUGCAAUAUAUGUUUCGUUUAGAAACAUAACAAAUGGUACGAAAAUGAAUAAAUACAUUUUAGUUGGCUCAAAGCAGAUGAGUUACAGUAGACAAUUAGAUAUUUUGCACCACAUCUUUAGCGAAAUUUGACUUAAACCUAAUGUUUACGGGUUGCAUUAAUUUCGGUCAGGGGAAGCAACUGCUGUUGCAAAUAGCGGUGUAUCUGAUAGUGUUAAAAAAGCAUGGGCAGUGGAAGACUGUUGGCGCUUAGGAUCACUGCGUGAGAGAUUCGGAUGAAACACAAACAAUUGUUUCUUCUCGUUUGGAUUUGUAAAUAUAUAUGGUACUCGGUGUUGUAUGUUGUUAGUUGUGCGUUGUUUUUUUUUGCCCCGUUCUUUUUCUGUCGAUAAAAUACCCUGCUUGUCAUGACACCUAAACAAAUGUGUUUGUUUUUAUUCUAAAUGGUUAGAUGAUAAAUAAUUUAUGUUUGUCAUAAAAUGUAAUGGAAUAUAAAACAUAAAUGUAUUUAUUAUCGUUGUGUGAAUGAAUAAACUGGUUAUACAGGUUUUUGAAGGUGAUAUAUGUCCAAUGGUGCGGAAAUCAAGAUUUCCUCGUGCACAGAUUUGUAGGUUUAGUCAUUCGACAGGCAAG